rnacentral:rRNA from 1 species
UAAUAUGAAGAGUUUGAUCCUGGCUCAGAUUGAACGCUGGCGGCAUGCCUAACACAUGCAAGUCGAACGGUAACAGAUAAGAUGAUCUCUUCGGAGUGAAUCUUUGCUGACGAGUGGCGGACGGGUGAGUAAUGCUUGGGAAUCUGCCCAAUAGUGGGGGAAAACUCGGGGAAACCCGGGCUAAUACCGCAUAAUCUCUACGGAGGAAAGAGGGCCUCUACAUGUAAGCUCUCGCUAAUGGAUGAGCCCAAGUCAGAUUAGCUAGUUGGUAAGGUAAUGGCUUACCAAGGCUACGAUCUGUAGCUGGUCUGAGAGGAUGAUCAGCCACACUGGGACUGAGACACGGCCCAGACUCCUACGGGAGGCAGCAGUGGGGAAUAUUGGACAAUGGGGGCAACCCUGAUCC